rnacentral:rRNA from 1 species
UUUAAUUAAAAGUAUUUGAAUAUAGGACCUGCCCACUGAAGUUUAAAGGGCCGCGGAAUUUAAUCGUGCAAAGGUAGCAUAAUAAUUAGUUUCUUAAUUAGAAAAUGGAAUGAAUGGUUUAAUAGUUUAAAUUUUUAAAUUUUGAAUAUUUUGAAUUAGAUUUUGAAGUGAAAAAGCUUUAGUGUUUUUAAAAGACGAUAAGACCCUAUAGAUCUUUAUGCUAAAUUUAAAUUAUAUAGUAAUAAGGAUGUCAGUUUUUAAGUUUGGUAUUUUGUUGGGGUGACAAUAGAAUUUAUAGUACUUCUAGUUAAUUACAUAAUCUUGAAGUUGGGAUUAGAAAAAGAUACCUUAGGGAUAACAGCGUUAUUAAAUUGGAGAGAUCACAUUGAUAAUUUAGUUUGCGACCUCGAUGUUGAAUUAAGAUAAAUAUUUUUAGAAGUUUAAAAAUAUUUUAGUCUGUUCGACUAGUAAAGUCUUACA